ACCGGCCCAGGCGGCGGCUGCGUGACAGGCAGCCCUUCCCGGCCCGACGCGGCGAUAACUCAGACUGAUCUCAUCGCCGGGCGUCACGACACGCGCUUCCUCCGCUGCACGCGGCGUAGCGUGAGAGGCGCCGGCGGCCCGGCCCACCCGGGAGCUGCGUGCAGCCAGCCCGCCCUCCGGCCCGCAGAGCAGAAGCCCGUUCCACCGCGGGCAGCGCCGGUUCUCAGCCGUCAGAGAGCUGACCCCGGACGUCAAACACGAAUCUCAUCCCCCGCCCCCCUGCAAGCGGCGGCCUUCGCACCAUUCAGCCCCCGCGGGCCCUGCCCCUCGCCGCCCCCGAGGCACAGCUGCCACCCCACCCCGAGGUCAGAAGGCGCCGGGUCGCCGGGGUGGCGAAACUGGACUGUCGGCCACCACUGACCUGCCAUGUGCUGAGCCUGUAAAGGAGACCAACUUUCAUAGAGUGAUAGACUCAAAGGGCUGAGAGUCUCUGUGGCUUUUUAGAGUUCCAGAGUUCUUAUGUGGCAUUCUCAAGGCAGUCCUGUUUCCUGCUUUCUGGAAGCUGGGUUAUUCAGCAUUUCUGUUGAUUCUGUGAGGUACUCUGGUAUCCUAAUAAAAUAUCCAUUGAUAAAAAUAAUUAACAAAAUGUAUAGAAUGCUAUUUGGAAUGCACUUUACAAUCAUGUUAUUUUUAACUUGCUUUUUUCCACAGAAAAAUCGACUUGGGACAUUCACCAUCAUUUUUAAUAGCUGCACGUCUUGUUGUUUGAUAAACCAAUUUGUUUUA